rnacentral:rRNA from 1 species
UACGAAGGGGGCUAGCGUUGCUCGGAAUGACUGGGCGUAAAGGGCGCGUAGGCGGAUUGUACAGUCAGGCGUGAAAUUCCCGGGCUCAACCUGGGGGCUGCGCUUGAGACGUGCGAUCUUGAGUGGGGAAGAGGGUCGUGGAAUUCCCAGUGUAGAGGUGAAAUUCGUAGAUAUUGGGAAGAACACCGGUGGCGAAGGCGGCGACCUGGUCCUUGACUGACGCUCAGGCACGAAAGCGUGGGGAGCAAACAGG